AACGAACGCUGGCGGCAGGCUUAACACAUGCAAGUCGAACGCACCGCAAGGUGAGUGGCAGACGGGUGAGUAACACGUGGGGAUCUGCCCUAUGGUACGGAAUAGCUCCGGGAAACUGGAAUUAAUACCGUAUGAGCCCGCAAGGGGAAAGAUUUAUCGCCAUUGGAUGAACCCGCGUAGGAUUAGCUAGUUGGUGUGGUAAAGGCGCACCAAGGCGACGAUCCGUAGCUGGUCUGAGAGGAUGAUCAGCCACACUGGGACUGCGACACGGCCCAGACUCCUACGGGAGGCAGCAGUGGGGAAUAUUGGACAAUGGGCGCAAGCCUGAUCCAGCCAUGCCGCGUGAGUGAUGAAGGCCUUAGGGUUGUAAAGCUCUUUCGCCGACGAAGAUAAUGACGGUAGUCGGAGAAGAAGCCCCGGCUAACUCCGUGCCAGCCGCCGCCGUAAAAC
rnacentral:rRNA from 1 species